GAUGAACGCUGGCGGCGUGCCUAACACAUGCAAGUCGAACGGAGUUCUUAAGGAAUGCGACUUCGGUCAAAUGACUUUUGAACUUAGUGGCGGACGGGUGAGUAACGCGUGAGCAACCUGCCUUUCAGAGGGGGAUAACAUUUGGAAACAGAUGCUAAUACCGCAUAAGAUUACAGUACCGCAUGAUACAGUGAUCAAAGGAGCAAUCCGCUGAAAGAUGGGCUCGCGUCCGAUUAGAUAGUUGGUGAGGUAACGGCUCACCAAGUCGACGAUCGGUAGCCGGACUGAGAGGUUGAACGGCCACAUUGGGACUGAGACACGGCCCAGACUCCUACGGGAGGCAGCAGUGGGGGAAUAUUGGCACAAAUGGGCGAAAGCCUGAUGCAGCAACGCCGCGUGAGGGAGACGGUUUUCGGAUUGUAAACCUCUGUUUUCGGUGACGAACAAAUGACGGUAACCGAGUAGGAAGCCACGGCUAACUACGUGCCAGCAGCCGCGG
rnacentral:rRNA from 1 species